rnacentral:rRNA from 1 species
UGCAGUCGAGCGCAGGAAUAACAGAACCCUUCGGGGUGAUGUUUAUGGAAUGAGCGGCGGACGGGUGAGUAACACGUGGGCAACCUGCCUGUAAGAUCGGGAUAACUCGCGGAAACGUGAGCUAAUACCGGAUAACACUUUUCAUCUCAUGG